AUUGAACGCUGGCGGCAGGCUUAACACAUGCAAGUCGAGCGGAGAUGAGGUGCUUGCACCUUAUCUUAGCGGCGGACGGGUGAGUAAUGCUUAUGAAUCUGCCUAUUAGUGGGGGACAACAUUCCGAAAGGAAUGCUAAUACCGCAUACGUCCUACGGGAGAAAGCAGGGGAUCUUCGGACCUUGCGCUAAUAGAUGAGCCUAAGUCGGAUUAGCUAGUUGGUGGGGUAAAGGCCUACCAAGGCGACGAUCGGUAGCGGGUCUGAGAGGAUGAUCCGACACACUGGGACUGGGACACGGCCCAGACUCCUACGGGAGGCAGCAGUGGGGAAUUUUGGACAAUGGGGGGAACCCUGAUCCAGCCAUGCCGCGUGUGUGAAGAAGGCCUUAUGGUUGUAAAGCACUUUAAGCGAGGAGGAGGCUACUGAGACUAAUACUCUUGGAUAGUGGACGUUACUCGCAGAAUAAGCACCGGCUAACUCUGUGCCAGCCGCCGCCGUAA
rnacentral:rRNA from 1 species